CACACAAAUAUGCAUAUAGAGAGGCCGUGGUGAACGUUAUGCUGCCUGUGACAUCAUCCAGCAUGACUGGUUUGGCGGUCGGUCAGUGAUGGUCUGGGGAGGCAUAUCCUUGGAGGGUCACACAGACCUCAACGUCAUAGCCAACGGUACCCUGGCUGCUGUUAGGUACCAGGAUGACACAAAAGCCUACUAAACGCACAAAAUAAUGGGAAAUGAAUGGACUGCCAACCUAAGGGACAGCCCGUGCAGCAGUUGCUAAGUGAUAGGGUACACUUUUCGAAUUUCUGCUACCAAUUAAAAAGAAGUAUAGGCAUAUGGCCAAUCGUCCCUGUGUUCUACCUAUUUUUACCUGUUUACAGACACAGAAUUGGAUGCAAAAAAUAAAGGAUGUGAUUAAGAGUGAUAUAAAUAAACCUAAAGAGGGAAAAACAGAGUACCAGUAGAGGAAUCUGGUUUUAUUUGGAACUCUGACAUUCUAAAUUAGAAGUAUGUUUUCAGAAAGACAGGACAAUAUGUGGUCCGGGAAAGAAGAGUCAUUGUCUGGGGGCAGUCACUCAAAAAACAUAGAACAAUCCAGGGAAAAUCAGAAUGUGUGGCAAACCUAUCCAUGGCACUAACUUAUGUAUCACAACAAUCGUUGUUGAUUUAGCUAACAGUAAAUGACGUUCAAAGAACUUUUUACUAGCCAGGAGCGAUGCAGGGGCGGUCAACGAGCUAACCAUAACCUGAGCGAACGUUAGCCAGCUGGCUGUAGCUAAAGCCCCGUUUCCACCGAGCAGUACCGUACGGUUCAGUUCAGUUCAGUGCGCAUUUUUUCUGUUUCCACUGUGAAAAGUUGUGGAUGGUACCAAUAGAACUGUUCCUUACCAUCCCCAUUUUUGGUCCCCCCUUUGUUGGGGUACCUAGCACACAGAUCUGGUACUAAAAGGUCAAGCUGUGAACACUGCAGUCCAUUGAUUGGUCACUCUGCUAAGGGCUGAGUUGUGGCUGGUUUUGAGGCUCAUGUAACUACUGUUCAUACUGUGGAGAGUUUUAUUAGUAAACUGUAACUAUAAAAUGAAAGGAUGUUUUGCUGCCUCUCACAGCAGAUGUAGAUUGAGAAAAAAUAACUUAAUUAAGUGGGCUGACUGACAGCCACUUUUAGGGUGGAAUGUUUACUUGUAAUGUUACUCAAUGCAUGAGGUGACAACGUGGAUCCAUCAGCACACUUUAAAUUUCUUCGACCAUUACUUCAGGUUUUAUUGUCUGUCUUGGAUGACAUACACUUUCUUGAAACGUUCAUAUAUAUAUAUCUUAAUUAUGUGACCUGCAUAUAUGCUAAUCCUCACUUGGAGAAAAAAAACGCAUUGCAGAGCAUCGCUCCUGUGGGCUCCGGCAACACUAAACCCCUGCGCUUGCCUGAGAAGGACUAAAUGCACAAAGCUGCUAUUUUUAAAUAUCCCAUGGAGAGAGACUCUCACUGCAGCAUGUUCUAUUUUGUUCUGAAAAUGUCGGCGUGCAGCCUCGUUCUGUGGACGAUAAACGGUGCUAAGGUGUAGACUUCCAUCUGUGUCACCAGUAAUGAGGAAAUACAGUGAGUGCUGGACGGAUUAGUGAGUGACAACAACCUCGCCCACAUUUAGGGUACUGCUUGCAGUGGAAACACUAAGGUCUAGGUCAGAGCCGUCCUCCCUCUAAGUAAAUUAAUUGGCUGCUUAGGGCCCUGUGGCCACUAGGGGGAACCCAGAUGGAUGCACAGUAAACUGAAUUGUUUACAACAAUUUGAACUUAUUUAUGAUUUUUAGAUAUAAUGAUUAAGAUACUGAUAUAAAGUAAUGGACUCCAAAUUUAAAAAAAAAAAAUGCUAAUGAUAAAUGUUAAUGUUUUUUCCUACCAGGCCCAUCAUCAUCCCACACCGAAGCUGACUCAUCAUCAGCCCCUGGGGUUGGUUCCAGUGAUACAUUUGAUCCAGUUGAAACUGCUGAUCAAAGCCACCCAACAUCUGUUCUUGAACUCUGUGGAAGAACAUCAAAUUAGAUUUGAAAAAAAAAGAAUACAGAGGCCAGAAGAGAGAGAUUUACUACAGCUGGUGGACCACCACCAAGUAAAGACAAGACAGAUGAAUUGGGUGACUUGUUGUCUGGAAUAAUAGAGGACCAGCAACCUCUGGAUGGUAUACCAGAUGAUGACCAUUUGGACAGUGGACAUGAAGAACUGAGCACAAAUGGUAAAUGUUCCAAAGAAAAUAAAUCAGUUCUGUCAAUCAUUCUGUACAUACAGUAUAUUCCACUGUCCGUGUCUAUCUGUAUUUUUAUUUCAUUCUAAGGACCACAUGACUUUGUGAAUCUAACAGUGUUCUUUUCCCCGAGGAAAUGAUUCUAACGCUGUUGGAAGAGCCAGUGCACAGUGACUGUGCACCCUCCACAUCUGGUAUGGCAACCCAGAGGAAUGACAUGAAAAUGAGAAUUCUACAGGUUGAAUUGGAUAUGAAAUUAAAAGAGAGCUGCUCAAAGAAAGAUGCAUGAGCAAUGCUGAACAAUGUAAUGAAAUACUGUAAGUUGUGAAAAUAAAUGUUUUCUCACUUGGCAAGAGUGUGAGUAUUGUAGUAACCACAAACUGCGUUUUAGAUCAGCCUUGGUUGAGUUUCUCAUUUAAUUAAAUGCAUCUUUUUGUCUAACUGAAGUGCUACAAUGUGAAUGCAGCAUAAGGGAAUUUAAUGUACAGACUUCUCAGUUCACAAAUGGCAUUGCAGACAUUGUGAACUAUUCUACACACUGUUGAUUCACUGACACCACACAAAUCACCAGUUUCAAGAUGAAAGGUUGCAGAUGCCAAGAACCUCAAAGUGAUCAGAACUGGGAGAAAACUGGGUACAGGCCUUCCUCUUUGAGACACAGAGGAAAGUCUAGGCUCAAGCAAAGUGAUUAUCUCCAGCGCACUUUCUUUGUACAUACGAAAGCGGUUUCGGAAAGCUAUUUCAUCAAACUGAUUCAACAGAUUACUCCUAUCCACAAGUAUUUGUCUGGCUGGCCUCUGUAGUGCAUAUUGGUCUUCAUUUAGAUAUUCCAAAUACUCCAUGCUCCAAAACAGUCUGUGCUCCCUUUAAACCCGCCUCUUUGAAGGAUUAAUUUAAGAUUCAAUUUAGUCCUAGAUUAGCUCUAAUCCACCCUCUCGCAAUCGGCUUUGUUUAAUCCAGAACAGACUAAAUCUACGACUAUUUUAAGAUAAGUCUGUGCAAGAGACUUAGAGUUAAGCCAGCUCAAACAGCAUUUUCGUCUCGGACUAGGCUUAAGCCUUGUCUGUGAAACCGGGCCUUGAUGUUUAGCUUCCUGUUAGAGGCUUUAAAGAGUUAGAAAGGUUUUUGG